rnacentral:rRNA from 1 species
UACAGAGGGUGCAAGCGUUGUCCGGAAUCAUUGGGCGUAAAGGGCGCGUAGGUGGCCCGGUCAGUUCGUGGUGAAAGCGCGGGGCUCAACCCUGCGUCGGCCAUGAAUACUGCCGCGGCUGGAGCACUGUAGAGGCAGGCGGAAUUCCGGGUGUAGCGGUGGAAUGCGUAGAGAUCCGGAAGAACACCGGUGGCGAAGGCGGCCUGCUGGGCAGUAGCUGGACGCUGAUGCGCGACAGCGAUGGGAGCA